rnacentral:lncRNA from 1 species
UUGGAGUGUCCAUAAAGACUGUUUAUAAUGUAAAGAAGAGAAUGACUAUGAGCAAAACUAUUACGAGAAAGUCUGGAAGAUACUAUUAAAGAAGAAUGGGAGAAGUUGUCAUCCAAAUAUUUGAGGAACACUUGCGCAAGUUUCAGGAAGCGUGUGAAGGCAGUUAUUGAGAAAGAAGGAGGACACACAGAAUAAAAACAUUUUCUAUUAUGUACAUUUUCUUGUGGUAAAUAAAUUCUCAUGACUUUCAAUAAACUAAUUGGUCAUACACUGUCUUUCAAUCCCUGCCUCAAAAUAUUGUAAAUUUUGCUUCCCCACCCUGUUCGUUAUAUGACAUUAAAUGUUCUGUGUACUGUAAUUUGAUUUAAUAUGGAUUCAUAAUGUUAUAUUACUUUGUUAAUCACUUUGUUGAAAAUAAGCAACAAUUGCAACAACAACAACAACAACAACAACAACAACAACAAGACAGUCAACGACCAUAUCAUCCACGUCCAAACCUGUCAAUCACACAUAUGUGAGUCAAGAACCGACCACAGAACAAACUGGAACACACAGCAGCUCAUCCAAUCAUCUGCUGAGUUUCAUCAUUCCUUUGUGUUUGCUGCUGCUGAUUGUAACGGUGGCCGUACUCACCUGGUUCAUGUUGAAAAGACGCAGUAAGUCUGUCCAGAACUGUACAUGAAUCCAGUUCAUCCUAUUUAGACUAAAUGUACAGAGUCAUUCCAUGUGCAUAUUUAGCCACAAUUCUCCACUGUUUUAUUUUUAGAGUCACCAGCCACAGCUGAGGUAAGGUGGUUUUCAUUUUAUUUCAACAUUUCCAAGUUUUACAUUUGUUUUGUGUUUUUGGAAUUCAUCAGGUAAACAGAGGAAAAGAUGAAUGAUGGUGAAUAUUCUGUGUCAUAUUUGGUUUGUUUUAUCAGGAUGAACAGACAGUAACAUACAGUACUGUGUCGCAUGUGAGAAAAACCACAGCCCAGGUAAAUAAAUGAAUUAAUUAAAUUACAAUGAAAAAACUGAGUAACACUGUUUCUACACCACAUAUCUAUAGAAACAUAUUGUGUGUACU